GAUGAACGCUGGCGGCGUGCCUAAUACAUGCAAGUCGAGCGAAUGGAUUAAGAGCUUGCUCUUAUGAAGUUAGCGGCGGACGGGUGAGUAACACGUGGGUAACCUGCCCAUAAGACUGGGAUAACUCCGGGAAACCGGGGCUAAUACCGGAUAACAUUUUGAACCGCAUGGUUCGAAAUUGAAAGGCGGCUUCGGCUGUCACUUAUGGAGGGACCCGCGUCGCAUUAGCUAGUUGGUUAGGUAACGGCUCACCAAGGCAACGAUGCGUAGCCGACCUGAGAGGGUGAUCGGCCACACUGGGACUGAGACACGGCCCAGACUCCUACGGGAGGCAGCAGUAGGGAAUCUUCCGCAAUGGACGAAAGUCUGACGGAGCAACGCCGCGUGAGCGAUGAAGGCUUUCGGGUCGUAAAACUCUGUUGUUAGGGAAGAACAAGUGCUAGUUGAAUAAGCUGGCACCUUGACGGUACCUAACCAGAAAGCCACGGCUAACUACGUGCCAGCCGCCGCGGUAA
rnacentral:rRNA from 1 species